rnacentral:lncRNA from 1 species
CAUACAGAAAUGUUUUGUUGAGAUCAGUGUGGAAGAACUUGACUGGCCUGCAUAGAGCCCUGACCUCAACCCCAUCAAACACCUUUAGGAUGAAUUGGAAAGCCAACUGCGAGCCAGGCCUAAUCACCCAACGUCAGUGUCCGACCUCACUAAUGCUCUUGUGGCUGAAUGGAAGCAAGUCCCCGCAGCAAUGUUCCAACAUCUAAAGCCUUCCCAGAACAGUAGAGGCUGUUAUAGCAGCAAAGGGGGGAACCAACUCCAUAUUAAUGCCCAUGAUUUUGGAAUGAGAUGUUCGACGAGCACAUACUUUUGACGAGGUGUCCACAUACUUUUGGUCAUGAAGUGUAUGUUCUUAUACUCCUUAGUUUGAGUCUGAGUUAGAGGCUUAUGCAACGGGUGUGGCUGGAAUAGCCGAAUGCUGUGUGUAGCAUUGUUCGGUGUAUCCAUAUCUCUCCUUUGUUGUCUGUGUUUGAUAGAUCUGCUGACCAGUGGGCAGUCUAGCCACUGUGUGUCUCUAUCCAUCCCUUUCCCUCCAGCUGUUCCACAGGGCCAACCCUCCUCAAACAGCUCACACCUGGCUCUGCUGCGCCCCCAGCAGGACAGUUAUAGGUUUGUUGAUAGGUCCACCCACCAACUCAACCCCGGGUCCCACCAACACCAACUGCCUGGCCCCUCCAGUCCUCACACUCAUCAUCCUACUGUCUUAUCCCUAAAGACCAGCACACCCCUGAAUCAUCCCAGUCACACUCCUGUAGUAAACACAGACCAACACCCAGGUAAAUGACACCUACUAACUACAGGUACCUCAUAUGUUCGCUGCAUCUAUUACGUGUUAAUGUGCUGAGUUGGCGAUAUCCUUCAUUGGAAUGUCAAAAGUGACAUUCGAUAAUGCAUCACAGAGAUCUUCAUAGAAUUACACCUGCACCUACAAAGGGGCUUUGCUUAUUGACUGUGGAAAUGUGCCUGGGGAAAGAAAGCAAUGGUACAAUUCCUCUGGGAAAUUUAUACUCCGCAAUGAGAGUUAUUGUUUGUUUUAUUAUGAAAAAGUCUAUUAAAGAAUCGUGUGGGUGGUUUGACAUUCUGUAGGUUGAUCUUGGCUUAUUUCUAUCAGUUGUGUAGCUGGUGGCUGAUGUUCUUCAACGUAGGAAAGAAGAAGCAGCUUCACUCUCAAUCAUAGCUUAAAAUAGAUAUCACUUUUUUCCUACUGGACAGCAGUACUUAAUGUUGACAAGGUGUUCACACAAGC